UACGUAGGGCGCAAGCGUUGUCCGGAAUUAUUGGGCGUAAAGAGCUCGUAGGCGGUUUGUCGCGUCUGCUGUGAAAACCCGAGGCUCAACCUCGGGCCUGCAGUGGGUACGGGCAGACUAGAGUGUGGUAGGGGGAGACUGGAAUUCCUGGUGUAGCGGUGGAAUGCGCAGAUAUCAGGAGGAACACCAAUGGGCGAAGGC
rnacentral:rRNA from 1 species